GAGUUUGAUCUUGGCUCAGAACGAACGCUGGCGGCGUGGAUAAGACAUGCAAGUCGAACGGGAUAUUAUUUGUAGCAAUACGAAUGAUGUUCAGUGGCGCAAGGGUGCGUAACACGUGGGCAAUCUGCCGAGAAGUUGGGGAUAGCUCGCCGAAAGGCGAAUUAAUACCGAAUGUGGUUAAAGGACGACAUCUUCCUGACACUAAAGCCGGGGCAACCUGGCGCUUCUUGAUGAGCCCGCGGCCUAUCAGCUAGUUGGUGAGGUAACGGCUCACCAAGGCUAUGACGGGUAGCUGGUCUGAGAGGACGACCAGCCACACUGGAACUGAGACACGGUCCAGACACCUACGGGUGGCAGCAGUCGAGAAUUUUUUC
rnacentral:rRNA from 1 species